GCCACUUCGUUUUUCUCCUUUUCCACCUCUUUUGGGGCCUUCUCAAAAAACCAUUUGACUUGAUUUCUCACUUCUUCUAGAAACCACCAGAAACAACCAACAAUCUUCCAUUGUACACGUGUUGGUCAUCAAUGCCGAAGUGCUUCUGUGGACCCCACCCUCCAAGGGAAAUCAACACCCUAAAUCUAAUCGAUCAAUCCAUGGCUGAUCAUCAUGUUGAGCACUUCCUGAAUCUAACGGCUCUGAUUUCAUGUCUGAUCCAUGCGGUUGUACUUGAUCCUGAUCCUCAGAUUCUUCUUCGCUGCUUCUCCUCACGCGCUUUACCCCAAUUGAUACACCAAACAACCGUGGGCUCAUAUCUUCAUCCGCCUUGAAGCCGCUGCUCUCCGCCGCUGUGAUGGCCGCACCGCCGCCGUCAACUUGCCCCGUACGAAGCAAUUCCAAAGCUCGUCCUCCUAGUAUACCUGCCGGUAUAUCCGCCGGAUUCGCCGUGUAAUUGGACAUCAGAUUGUAUACGUUACUGCAUAAACUUCUCAACCGAUUCAAUUCCUGAUUUAGUUGUGCGUUCUCCUUUCUCAACCGUUCGUUCUCCUCUAUAAGCUCCGGCGUCGUCGUACACGUAGUGGUCCUUAACAUCGCCGCUCCAGCUGCGGCACCAGAUGAGUUCGAUGAGAACGCCUGCUCAUCACCGGAAUUCGAUGAAGAAACCACCCUGACCGCUGGUGCUACCGCUACCGUCACCGCUUGUGCAGCAUUCACCGUUACUACUGCUGGUGCAACAACCGCAGCACCUGCCGGUGAAAUUUUCCGGCGUUGAAUGUCACGAAGUAGUCCUUUCUCACCUCUACGGAAACAGUCAUUUGCGAAUUCCCAUCGAUCAGGU
rnacentral:misc_RNA from 1 species